GCCUGACUGGCUCAGUAGAGCAUGUGACUCUUGAUCUUGAGUUCGUGAGUUUGAACCCCACAUUGGGCA
rnacentral:tRNA from 1 species